GAUGAACGCUAGCUACAGGCUUAACACAUGCAAGUCGAGGGGCAGCAUCGCGAUAGCUUGCUAUUGCGGAUGGCGACCGGCGCACGGGUGAGUAACGCGUAUCCAACCUUCCCGCAACUGGGGAAUAACCUUGCGAAAGUAAGACUAAUACCCCAUGGUCUCCACGGAUGGCAUCUGAAAUGGAGUAAAGGUUUUCGGCCGGUUGCGGAUGGGGAUGCGUCCGAUUAGCUUGACGGCGGGGUAACGGCCCACCGUGGCAUCGAUCGGUAGGGGUUCUGAGAGGAAGGUCCCCCCACAUUGGAACUGAGACACGGUCCAAACUCCUACGGGAGGCAGCAGUGAGGAAUAUUGGUCAAUGGACGAGAGUCUGAACCAGCCAAGUAGCGUGCAGGAUGACGGCCCUAUGGGUUGUAAACUGCUUUUAUAAGGGAAUAAAGUGAGAGUCGUGACUCUUUUUGCAUGUACCUUAUGAAUAAGGACCGGCUAAUUCCGUGCCAGCAGCCGAC
rnacentral:rRNA from 1 species